GGAUUGGGGCGUUGCCGGCGUGCAUUUAGAGAGGGGAUUAGGGAACUCUAAGGUUAGUCCACCGUGGCGGGGCUCGACAAGGUGGUAUGUCUCGCGUGGGUUGAAACGUAGAGGCUCUAGGGUACAGGAGAAGCAGGUCGUCGUGUUGUAUGAGUGGCCAGUCGAGGUGCGGAAGCGGGGACGUGGAGGAAGAGAGGAGCAACAACUCGCCGUCCAAUGUUUAGCCUACCUAGCCGUCGGCCUCAUCGUGCCCGGCCGACUGCUUGGCUGUCACCCAACGUUUUUAAGGGGGGAUCAGCUUCGCGGGUAGAGCUUUAGCUUCCCCUAACUGCGACCUACGUAGAUGAAGUCUCUACUGCACAGCUUAAGUAGUGUUUCUGGGUGUACCGAGUCUGCAGGCCCGAUAGUCCCAUAUGUUGGAGUUCCUACUGUGUUACUUCUAGUUUCGCGAGCCCGUUUCCGUGGAGUUGAACAUGGGUAACCGCGGCACCUGUUGUGGGAGGUAGUGUACUACCGAUUAAUCACUUUAAACUGUGUACUUUCGUUAAAAAGAAGUGGAACUUUGUGAGACGUAAACUGUUGUUGUAAAGAAAGAAAGAAACGUUUGUUUAGCAAGUAAACUUAAUCUUCGUACACAUUAAUACUGAGGUAAACUGUCAUCGUAAAAGUAAGAAAGAAACGUUUGUUUGGGAAGUAAACUUAAUCUCGGUACACAUUAAUACUGACCUUAGUAGAUAGAGAAAUCACCUUCGUUGUAUUAUGAACGAACCUUCGU
rnacentral:rRNA from 1 species